rnacentral:lncRNA from 1 species
GAUUUGUGCUUGAGUGAGAAUGCCAGACUAUGGCACGAGGGCAAGAGACCUGACAGCAGUAACAGUGGUGACAGGAUUGGUGAUGACAACACUGUCAACAAAUACAUUUUCAGUGGUUUCUAUAAGCUGAGUAUCUUACUAUAUUUAGUUCUCACAAUAAUUAAAUUGUGAGAUUAUUAUUCCUAAUUAAAGAUGAGGAUAGUGAGACAAUGGGCACUGAAUAAUGCACCAAAGUCACAUAACUAGUAACAGAGGUAGCCACGAUUUCAAUUCAGGUAUUGUGAUUUCAGUCAUCUAGCCUGAACUUAUUUAUUUAUUUAUUAUUAUUUUUUAAGAUUGUAUUCAUUUAUUCAUGAGAGACACAUGGAGAGGCAGAGACACAGGCAGAGGGAGAAGCGGGCUCCCUGAGGGGAGCCCGGUGCAGGACUAGAUCCCAGGACCCCGGGGUCACAACCAGAGCUGAAGGUGGAUGCUCAACCACUGAGCCACCCAGGUGCCCUAAACUGUUAUUUAAUGACAUCUCCAGAAAUUAAUCUAUUAUACUUAGUGGCAACUCUUCAUUCAGCUACAAAUAUAGAACAGCAUUUUUUUGAAUUGUAAGUAAAGGGGAGCUUAUUAAAUAUGGUUAGGUGAUCACUUAUCAUAACAUAAUUCUAGAUUUUUAAGUAAUGCAAUAUUUAUAUUUUUAUUAUAUAUGCAUAUAGAUGCAAAUUUAUCUGUGCACAUAAGCAUAUACCUGUAAUCUCUCUCCAUACACACACACACACACACACACACAUAAAUGCAUGUGUCUAUCUUCUAUCUACCUAUUGUCUAUCACCCAUCUUUCUAUCCCUAAUAUACAUAUAUACGCACAAAUACUCCUACAGACUGACAUACUCACAUAUAUGGCUAAGGUAUAUGUAUGAUUUAACAGACAACUGUGUGGUUUUAGCAAUCAACUGGCUGGGUGGUUGGUGGGUAUAGACCAUUGACAUUAUUUUAUUAAGUUCAUGAUUAACUCAGUAAAUAUUAGAUAAAAAGUUACCAGAUUUUUCUUUGUUCCAUAUAAAUGGUUGCUAAUAUGUGGGAUUUCAUUAUGACUUUAAAAUAGUGAACGCUUGUUAUCUUUUUACUUAGAUGUUUCUGGAUUUGUAUUUUUUUUGACAUUUUGUAUGACUUAUUUUUUCUCAAGUUUUUUAUAUAAAUUGUAUUUAACUCAUUUUCUUCAAAUUAAUAUUUGUAUUCUAGUCCUUUUGGUUCCCAAACCAGGAAGGCACGUAAAUUUUAACUUGAAUCAGCAUUCUCUCUCCUCCACACUUAAGUUUUUGCUUUUAUCUCCACUUCUUCUUCUUCCUUGUCUGCCCCCAGUCUUCAUCCUGUAUUGUAUAUAGUGAAAUCCUCUCAUUAUUCCAUAUCCUAAAGUUAUUUUCCACAAUUUCAAUUUUCAUUAUGAUUUCCAAUGUAGUUUUAUUUUUCUCUUUCAACUUUAGUCUCUUGCUUCCUUUUUUGUUAUGUUGUUUUAUUAAAAAAAAAUCUUCCUUUUCUUUCUCUACUAUGGUCUUAUGCAUCUGUUUCUUCAUUUUCAUGUCUUCAUGCAUUGUGGUGAUGCAUUUUUUCCUAGUUCUUUAAGCUAAUGUGAAAGAUACGCUCUUUAUUUUUCUUCUUCUUUUAAGAUUAUUUAUUUAUUUAUUCAUGAGACACACAGAGAGGCAGAGACACAGGCAGAGGGAGAAGCAGGCUCCAUGCAGGGAGCCCGACAUGGGACUCGAUCCCGGGUCUCCAGGAUCACGCCCUGGGCUGAAGGCGGCGCUAAACCGCUGAGCCACUCGGGCUGCCCCCGCUUUUUCUUUUUCUUAUAUGCUUCAGAAUUAUUGUACUCUUACCACUUUCUGCUGAAGAUGAAGUCAGCCAAUAUUAAAAUAAUCAGGAGUAAUAACGGCAUAAAAAUCUUUUAAAUUUUAACAAUAUUUUACUACAUUUUUAACUUUAAACUGUUGUUCUGAGAUGCAACAAUACAAAGAAAUUUAAGGGAACAGACACAAAGCAAUAAUAAAAAAGUGUUUUAAGUCUUCAAAUUCAUAACAAAAACUAUUACUUGGCAAUUUAGGAUAGUGGGAGUUAUGCUCUAAAUGUAUCUUCUUUGCAUUUACACAAAAUAUCAGAUCUGACAUGAAGAAAUGAAUAAGGUAAAACAUUUUGUUUUGGAUGUAAGUUAUAUAAAAUCUCAAAACUACAUAUUUUACAAUAAAAUUCAAAUCAUUCUAGUACCUAUUUUUCUAUAAGAUAUUUUAAUUCCUUUACGUCAUUUGCUUUAUAGUCCAUCCUUGGAGGUAGCGACAGAAAUUCAGUUUCACCUAAUAAAGCCAUUUAUUUAUCUCCAAAUUGUAAGCUACCGCUAAAUUUUCCCUUUACUCAUUUUUCUUGUGCAAUCUAGUUUAAAGGUAGUAAAGCAUAAAACCGCAAACAAACCAAAAAAAAAAAAAAAA